UAUUAGCUAAAUUGGUAUCUAUAGAAGCCUCUUUAAGGAUACCACUUUGCACUGCAGUCUCAGUAUGUUGGGCCAGAAAAGGCCCACAGUCCAAAUCAAGUCCUGCUUUGAUAGCAUCAGCAGCAGCUUCCUCAGGUGUUGAUGUAUAGUGUUGAUUUUCGUAGAAAACUCCGACGGAGUCACAGUCGGAGACAAUGUAGCCGUUAAGACCCCAACCGCCGGCCCGCUUUGAUGGCAUCAGCAGCAGCUUCCUCAGGUGUUGAUGUGUAGUGUUGAUUUUCGUAGAAAACUCCAACGGAGUCACAAUCGGAAACAAUGUAGCCGUUGAGACCCCAACCGCCGCGUAUGGUUUUGCGAAGAAGGUACGGAUCAGCACAAGUAGGUAUGCCAUUGACUUGAUUGUAAG
rnacentral:lncRNA from 1 species